UGAAUGUGGAUGACAUUUUGAGGAAUUCUGCCAUGAAGAAGAAUACACGGAAGGGGAGGAGGUGAAGGGGAUUUUUUUAAAAGCAAUUUAAAAGUUUACUGGAAUGUCUCAUACAUAUCAAAGAGGAUCCAGUGUGAAACCCAUGAAAUUGUGAUCAACCAGAAUCCAGAACACGCUGUGCUUAAUGGAGUGAACUGCCUGUGAAGCGCAGGUGUGAGGGGCGGAUGAUAAGUGACAGUGCCGGUGCCCCCAGCGCCCUUUUACCUGAUGGCUCACCCGGCCUACAGCUGCGCCCUUCCCUUUGAAUCGUCUUGGGUAACGGGUGCUGCUUUGGAAAUGCCUGGAAGGUCAUGUCCUUUGUCUGGGGAUGGCUUCCAGCUGUGGUUGACUGAUAGCAGGGGGCACAGAAGGCCAGACACAACUUGCCUCAGGUGGGCCGACUCUGAGGGUUUGUUCGGCCUCCACGUGGACUUCAGCUGAGCCUGCAUCUUUGCUUGGCUUUUCCCACUGGCCUAUUCUGCUUCCCUCUCCUUAAGGGUUCUCCCAGGAGAACUCCCUUAAUAAAUCACUUG
rnacentral:lncRNA from 1 species